AACACAAAUAUAUAACUUUACUAAAAAAAAAGUACAAAUUAAAACUUGAUGGCUCUUGCCUUGAACUAUCCUCUGUUGUCUCCAGCAUAGAUGGCCCUGGGCUGACCCAGCAUGCCUUUCCCUGUGAAGGAACUGAGAGCUUUGAAAGCUCUGGGGUGUGCUGGUCUAGUCCACAGACCCCUUUGUGGCCUUUGGUAAGCCUCUUACCUUCUAUGAAUGCUACUUUUUCCAUCUGCAAAACGAAGACUGGAUAGAGCACCUCAGAUGAAGGCUGCGGGAGGAGCUAGAGCAGCUUGCAAUGUGCCCAGGAACCAGCCCUGCACAGGGUCGAGACUAGACCAGGGACUUGGACUCCUUCAGAGAGCGGUUGCCAUGCAGCGGUGUUUAUUCAAG
rnacentral:lncRNA from 1 species